AUUGAACGCUGGCGGCAGGCCUAACACAUGCAAGUCGAGCGAGCGGCGGACGGGUGAGUCAUGUAUGGGGAUCUGCGCGAUAGAGGGGGAUAACUACUGGACACGGUGGCUAAUACCGCAUACUGUCGGAUGGACCCAUGUGGGGUUAGCGAGUAGGUGGGGUAAAGGCUCACCUAGGCGACGGUCUCUAGCUGGUGUGAGAGGAUGAUGAGCCACACUGUGACUGAGACAGGGCCCAGACUCCAACGGGAGGCAGCAGUGGGGAAUAUUGCACAAUGGGCGCUAGCCUGAUGCAGCCAUGCCGCGUGUAUGAAGAAGGCCUUAGGGUGGUAAAGUACUUUCAGCGGGGAGGCGUUACCCGCAGAAGAAGCACCGGCUAACUCCGUGCCAGCAGCCGCGGUAAUUC
rnacentral:rRNA from 1 species